rnacentral:rRNA from 1 species
GUGAGGAAUUUUCCGCAAUGGGCGAAAGCCUGACGGAGCAAUGCCGCGUGAAGGAUGAAGGCCUAUGGGUUGUAAACUUCUUUUCUCAGAAAAGAAUUAUGACGGUAUCUGAGGAAUAAGCAUCGGCUAACUCUGUGCAAGCAGCCGCGGUAAGACAGAGGAUGCAAGCGUUAUCCGGAAUGAUUGGGCGUAAAGCGUCUGUAGGUUGUUUAAAAAGUAUUCUGUCAAAGAUUAGGGCUUAACCCUAGAUAGGCAGAAUAAACUUUUAAGCUAGAGUUUGGUAGAGGCAGAGGGAAUUCCCGGUGGAGCGGUGAAAUGCGUAGAUAUCGGGAGGAACACCAAAGGCGAAGGCACUCUGCUGGGCCAAUACUAACACUGAGAGACGAAAGCGAGGGGAGCAAAUGGGAUUAGAAACCCCGGUAGUCC